AAGCUCCGCCUCCCGGGUUCACGCCAUUCUCCUGCCUCAGCCUCCCAAGUAGCUGGGACUACAGGCGCCCGCCACAACGCCCGGCUAAUUUUUUUUUGUGUUUUCAGUAGAGAUGGGGUUUCACCGUGUUAGCCAGGAUGGUCUCGAUCUCCUGACCUCAUGAUCCGCCCACCUCGGCCUCCCAAAGUGCUGGGAUUACAGGCGUGAGCCACCACGCCCGGCCUAUUUACAACUUUUAAAAUAUCAACUCACGAUGUCCAUAGAGAGGGACCUACUGAAUAAACUUGCAUUUUUUCUUUCCCUGAGGCUUUGGUUGAUACAUUCAUGAAAUGAUUUUGAACUGCAUCCUGAACAUCAAAUUUUAAUUUAUGUCAAGGGCUCACAUGGACAAUCAUGCACCACCCAUAUUAUAAGUGCUUUAGACAAAGAAAUAUUUUCUUGUUGUUUGAGACAGGGUAUCACUAUGUCACCCAGGCUGGAGGGCACUGGUGCAAUUUCGGCUCAAUGCAGCCUCAACCUCCCAGACUCAAGUGAUCCUGCCACCUCAGCCUCCCUAGUAGCUGGGACCACAGGGAUAUACCACCAUGCCCAGUAUAUUUUUUGUAGAGACGAGGUCUCACUAUGUUGCCCAGGCUGGUCUCUAACUCCUGGGCUCAACCAAUCCUCCUGCCUCGGCCUCCCAAAGUGCUGAGAUUACAGGUGUGAGCCACCACGCUUGGCUAGACAAGGAAAUAUUAAGCUGUAAGGAAAUUAUAAAAUCACAGGCUUACGGAAUUUUUAAAAAAAUGACAUCAUCUAGUACAACUAUUUUAUUUGAGAUUAUAUACAUAAAUAUUUUGGGGAACUACAAUGCUAUUGGAAAUAAAUUAGCAUUGUAAUAACAGAAUGACCAUCACAUAUAAAUACACAAAAUAAAAUUCUGAUAUUUCAAGGACUGUUUCUACUUUAAAUGCAAGUAAAGAGUUUCACUUGCUCCAGACCAAUUGCUCUAACAGCCAGUACCACAGCCAAAAUUUGAACUAGUCCCUCAUCAUUAAAACCAAUUCCUGGCCAGGUGCAGUGGCUCAUGCCUGUAAUCCCAGCACUUUGGGAGGCCAAGGUGGGUGGAUCGCCUGAGGUCAGGAGUUUGAGACCAUUCUGGCCAACAUGGUGAAACCCCAUCUCUAAUAAAAAUACAAAAAAAUUAGUUGGGCGUGGUGGUGCACACCUGUGAUCCCAGCUACUUGGGAGGCUGAGGCGGGAGAUGGUUUGAACCCAGAAGGUGGAGGUUGCAGUGAGCCGAAAUUGUGCCACUGCACUCUAGCCUGGGUGACAGAGUGAGACUCUGUCUCAAACAAACGAAAGCAAUUCUUUAUUUCUCAAUUCCCAAAUUUUAUUACAAAAUAUUUUUUAACCUUGACCCUCAAUGCUGUAUGUGGAAAUUAAGUUUAAAAAAACAAAAACAGGCCGGGCGCGGUGGCUCACGCCUGUAAUCCCAGCACUUUGGGAGGCCGAGG
rnacentral:lncRNA from 10 species